rnacentral:misc_RNA from 1 species
CAUAUCUUCUGCUACAGAAUUUCGUCUUAAGGUUGCGAAGAAACUUGCAUUUCUGUCGCAAAUAAUUAAAAGUAUCUGUAAUUUCGAGCCUAAAAGAAGAAAAUGGGAAGAAAAAGAAGUAGAAAAAAUAAACGAGAUAUAUAAAGAAUGAUGAAGCUUCUGAAGCCAGAGAAGAAUAUCUCCAAAUUUUUUCAGAAUAUAAAUUAUUAAAUAACUUGUAACGAAGAAACGAAGACAUCCGAAAAUAUCGUAACUGAGAAAUUGAUAUUCUUCUGUUUAUAUUUAAGUCACCAAUAUUUCAAAUGGAGAUAUUUAAUUUUAAGAUAAAUUGUCUCCAAUAUCGCAUUGUUGUUCAGUUAGAAAAUCAAUAGAAUCAAAGAAGGAGAGUCAAGAAAGCCCCAAACAGAUACACACAAAUAAUGUCGACACUCAAGUUUUAGAGAAGUUUGGAAUUAUUAUGUCGACAGCUUAUCUAGUUGUCAAAUGCAUCUUGAGCAAUUUGAGUUGUCCGGAAUUGGACCAAUGUGCUUGGGUAUGCAUUCUUUGGAAGAAGGUUUCGGAAGACAUAUUAAAGAUAUGAUUACUGUAUUGGAUAUGAUCUUGCUACUGGACUUAGCAGAUAUUCUCCUUCAUUUGACAGACCGUCUGGGCUCAAUUGUGAAAUAAUCAGCCCUUCUGAGGUUGGUUUUGUCAUGGAUCUAUGUGACUUUGAUGUAAGAAUUGUGGAAUGUGAAGGAUGCGAGAGGAAAACUAACUUAUGUUGCAGUCACAAUUUACUUACCGAAAAUGAAACAAAAUUUUGGGAUAGCUUGUCCGAGUGUACAAUUUAUUCACUCUUAACAGACAUACACAAGCUUCCUGUUACUUGGAUUAACUUCUAUAGAAGGACGGCUAUCAUCAUUCCAUACGUGCCUGGAAUAAAGAUACAUUCAUUUAAUUUUCCUUGUGCAGGAGUCAUAAUUAAAAGUUUAGCAUACAAUGACUUCUUGAAGAUGGCAAAUAUUCCUUCUGAAGAAGACAUAAAGUGCUUAUUGUUGUUUUUUGAUGACUUUAGAGGCACAAAAAGAAUUUUAUCUUGGUUAUCUGGACAAAAUAAAGAAAUGGCAGUUGCCGGUGCAACACUAAGUUGUAAGAGUGGUUCAAAACAGUGCAUGGGUAUUGCAUUUUCUGGUAAACAUAUUCGAGCCUCUUCGCUAAUUCUUAAAAAUGACGACAAGGAUUUUAUACAAGAAAAGUUUAAAAAAUUGAAAGAAAGUAAUAUAUUUAACAUAUGCCUAGCAUUUAUAUUUGGCAACAGGGAUAUGUCUCCACCUUAUGAAGAAAUAUCACUCGCAAGUUGCAUAUUUAAAGAAAUGUUUCCUGAAAUUCCUUUAUUUGCUUUCUAUUCAUAUUCACAUUUUGCAUUAAAUUAUAUUCCAGGUCAGAUGGAAGAGGUGAACUGCAAUCGAAUUACAAUAUUAAAUCACUCUACAGCUUUUCUCCUGAUCUCACUGGGAACAAAUACUGUGUAAAUAAUUUUAACAGUAAUUUUACAGUUUUAAUUUUUGUUAAUUUAUAUCCUUUUCCUCAGUAUAUUCACAAAUAUAGAUGCUUUUUGAGCAUCCACUUCAAGUAUUUUUAACCUAUAAAUAAUCUGAAAAAAUGCAACAAUGUCUGGUUACUUGAUUUGGCUUCUAGGUUCAAAUUCCUCUUCUCCAACUGCUCUGGUUCCAAUUAUCCCUCUGCUCUGGUCUUCAGUUCAGAGUAAGUUAUCCCAAUUUUUGAUUUAUCAUAAAAUUUCUUCCUAAAUUCUUUUCUCUUUUGUCAAGUUGUCCUUUCACAAAAUAUAGUUAACUUAAUUUUUAUCUCAUCCAGUCAAAAAAUUGUAUAUUUUCUCCUUUCAUGUUUUGAAUCAUACCAGUGACUGAGUAGAUAAAACCACUAAACACUGGUAAUUAGUUGUGGGUUAUCCUCAUAAGUGAACCAUCUGUGCAGACAGAAAAGAGGUCAGUUGGUUGGUUUAUAGUUCCUCUUUUAUUUGCAUUUUUUUUUAUUGGUCAACAUUAUUGUCUUUUAAGAGAAUUAUUUUGUGCCAUUUGUGAAAGUUUAAAAAUAUGAUAACUGGUCCCUCUGUUGGUGGAUUUCAAUAAUUGGCAAAUGUUACUCCGAGGCAGUUUUUCUUUAAGCCAAUGGCUUUUGCCAGAGAACCUAUACUAACAAAGACAAUAUCAAGAGAAGUGAGACUUUCAAGAAAUCUGCAAAAGCUGGUAUAGCAAGAAAACUUUGGAUACCUCUAUCUUCUUCUGUUUGUUUAUUAUUGCUCUAUCAUCAUCUUAGAUUUUUCAUGUAUUUUAAUUCAUAAAUUUGUUUCAUUUUUGCCACAGAAAAGUAGAAAAUAUUAUUUACAUUUCUUUAAAACGUUUUCUUUGUUAGUUAUAUCAUACUUUUUCUUAUAUUUUCUUCAUUUUCCAACCAAUAUUUUUAUUCUAUCAAAUACAAAGCUAUACCUUCCAUUAUUCUGUAGUAUUAGUUAGUUUUUUUUUAAUUAUUUUUCUAAUCAUUACUUUCUUAUCACACACGGAAGAAACACUAAAAUAAAAAAUAAAAGUGUCUUUAACUUUUUCUCCUAAUUCACACCUUUGGAAUUUGACAAUAAUGUGACAAUUGCUUUGGCAGAGUCAAUCUUCAAACUCUCCUCAGCGUUGAUACACAAAAUAAUAAUAAAAUUCCUUUGUGUUGGUACAAUUAAAAAUAUAUAUUACAAAUAUAAAUAAAAUACUGUAUCUGGACAACAGUUAACUUUCUUUCUAAUUGGUUGAAGUGUUACUUUCUAAUUUAGUUUCGAAAAAUCCCUUCUUAGUGUGCAUUCCCGUGGUAUACCCUACUAAAACGCAGAUAUAAACAAAA